rfam:Fukomys damarensis contig96950, whole genome shotgun sequence.
CUUUUAAAAUAUCUGAGACAAACAAGAAAGGAAAAGAAUGUCCUACCUCACCCUGCUACCACCCCAGAAGACAGAAAAGCUUCCUUGCAGCUGAGCAGAACAGAGAUGGCAGGAUGGGGAGAGAAUGAGUGCAGACCAGAUGAGUCAUUCCCCACGAGUA